rnacentral:rRNA from 1 species
UACGUAGGGCGCAAGCGUUAUCCGGAAUUAUUGGGCAUAAAGAGCUCGUAGGCGGUUUGUCGCGUCUGCCGUGAAAGUCCGGGGCUCAACUCCGGAUCUGCGGUGGGUACGGGCAGACUAGAGUGAUGUAGGGGAGACUGGAAUUCCUGGUGUAGCGGUGGAAUGCGCAGAUAUCAGGAGGAACACCGAUGGCGAAGGCAGUUCUCUGGGCCGUAACUGACGCUGAGGAGCGAAAGCGUGGGGAGCGAACAGG